rnacentral:rRNA from 1 species
CCUACGGGCGGCUGCAGUAGGGAAUCUUCCACAAUGGGCGAAAGCCUGAUGGAGCAACGCCGCGUGUGUGAUGAAGGCUUUCGGGUCGUAAAGCACUGUUGUAUGGGAAGAACAGCUAGAGUAGGGAAUGACUUUAGUUUGACGGUACCAUACCAGAAAGGGACGGCUAAAUACGUGCCAGCAGCCGCGGUAAUACGUAUGUCCCGAGCGUUAUCCGGAUUUAUUGGGCGUAAAGCGAGCGCAGACGGUUGAUUAAGUCUGAUGUGAAAGCCCGGAGCUCAACUCCGGAAAGGCAUUGGAAACUGGUCAACUUGAGUGCAGUAGAGGUAAGUGGAACUCCAUGUGUAGCGGUGGAAUGCGUAGAUAUAUGGAAGAACACCAGCGGCGAAGGCGGCUCACUGGAGCGCAACUGACGCUGAAGCUC